CAUUCGUAAAGUCACAAACACAUGUUAAAGAAGAGUGGAAGUAUGGCGGAGACGAACAACCAAGAAAAUGCGACAAAAUUUAAAGAGAAAGGGAACAAAGCCCUGCAGGCUGGCAAUUUGGACGAGGCCAUUCAGAAUUACACCGAAGCUAUAAAUCUGGAUCCAAAUAACCACGUCUUCUACAGUAACAGAUCAGCUGCAUAUGCCAAGAAUGGUUGUUACGAUGAAGCAUUAGUAGAUGCGCAGAAAACAGUGGCAUUGAAACCAGAUUGGCCAAAGGGGUAUUCCAGGCUUGGGGCAGCAUAUGCAUUUCUGUCAAAUCCUGAAGAAGCAGAAAAGGCAUAUCAAAAGGGAUUGGAACUUGAUCCUAAUAAUGCUCAACUCAAAGAUGCCUUGGAAUCAUUGAAAAAAACCUUCUCUGGUCCAGGUAAAAGUGUUCCUGUGGAUAAUCCAUUCUGUACUCCAGAUCUCAUACCAAAACUUGCAGCAAAUCCAAUCACAGCAGCUUACCUGCAAGAUAAGAGCUACUUGGAAAUUUUGAGUGAGUUAAGGAAGGAUACCAAAGCACUAGGAAAAUAUUUCCAAGAUCCACGGAUAAUGAAAACUCUAGAAGUUGUACUUGGUAUUUCUUUGGUAAAAACCGAAAGUCCAGAUGGCAGCUCUGCCCAGUCAACAGCAGAAGAAAAACCAAAACCUGAGAAACCCAAAGAGGAGGUGAAGAAGGAUGAUAUCCCCCAGGAAAAGAAAGAUGCUCUUAAAGAAAAGGAACUGGGCAAUGCUGCUUACAAGAAGAAAGAUCUGGACACAGCCAUCCAGCAUUACACCAAAGGUUACGAGUUAGAUCCCACAAAUGUUACCAUGCUAACGAACCGUGCUGCUGCAUACUUUGAAAAAGAGGAAUAUGAAAAAUGCAUCGAAGAUUGUGAAAUGGCUGUGGAACGAGGGAGAGAACAUCGGGCUGAAUUUAAAAUAAUUGCUCGUGCCCUUGAGAGAAUAGGAAAAGUCUAUAUGAAGCAGGAUAAACAAGAAAAAGCAUUGGAGUACUUUGAAAAAUCUUUGACAGAAUCCCGCUCUGAUGCUCUUUUACAAAAAGUCAACAAGCUAAAAAAAGAAAUCAAGGAAAGGGAAAGACAGGCCUACAUCAAUCCUGAAAUGGCAGAAGAGGAAAGACAGAAAGGGAACGAAUUAUUCAAGAAAGGGCAGUUUCCUGAAGCAUUGAAACACUACACAGAAGCUAUUAAAAGAAAUCCAACUGACGCAAAGCUUUACAGCAACCGCGCUGCAUGUUAUCAGAAGUUAGCUGAAAUCCGCCUUGCCCUUAAGGACUGUGAUGAAUGCAUCAAGCUUGACCCAACAUUUGGUAAGACUUGUGGUUACAAUACUCCCUCUGAUAAUUCUAGGAAGCACAAGAGGGCUUACAAAGAUGUUAUGUCAGUUCAACUACGCCAUCCUCAGAUCCUGAGGAAGUUAAAAAGAGAGCAAUGGCUGAUCCUGAAGUUCAGGAAAUUCUAAGUGAUCCAGCCAUGAGAAUGAUCCUUGAGCAAAUGACAGAAAAUCCAGGAGCAAUUCAAGACCAUCUUAGGAAUCCAGAUAUAGCAAGGA
rnacentral:misc_RNA from 1 species